CUCUCAAAAAAAAAAAGACAGUUAUACUUACUUAUAACAACAACAAAAAAAGAAAAUGUAGAGUUAAGAAAACAUGCAAUGUAACAAUUGCCUGUAAUACAACCAAUUUAAAAAAAUCACUGUGAAUAUUAUAUUUUUUCCUGAACUUUAUUUGUAUCUUCAUAACUUUUGUUUUUUUCUCUCAUUAAGAACACAGUCCUCUGGAUAUCUUACUGUACUUCUCUGAAGCUCAGGAGCUGCUGACAGAAUUACAGGCUGUGAGGUUGUGCCAAUAUCUGCAACUAGAGUAAUGAUCCUUGUACCUGCAUUGCCUAGAGCACUUUCCUCAAAGUUCCUAUAAUCCUAUAAUCAUAUGCAUCUUUGGAAUUAUCCUGAGAUUACAUUUUCAGCUGCCUCGCCAGAAGAUCCCUCCUCUGACAGCUGGCAGCUCAUAGCCAGUUCCACCUACAGGCCUCUGCACUUCCACCUGGAGUCUGAAAGCUGCAAACAUGGCUGCUUGCCUUUGCAAACCCAGGGCAUGUUUAAGGAGAAGCACAGGAAAUCUAGCAGCACUUUUGAGACGUUCCUCCUUUUUUUUUUUUUUUUUUUUUAAGAAAACAAGAACCUCACAAG
rnacentral:lncRNA from 1 species